UGGAUGCGGCCUCGAUUAGCGGGGGAACCACAUGAAAAAAAGCGAGCUACUGGGUGUACCUCCUGGGUAGUUUGGAAAUCACCUAAAAUAUAUAUGUAUAUAUUUAUAAAUAAAAGUUAAUAUAUAUAAAUUAACAUUAUUAUUUUUUAACAGGAAAUGCACAAUGCUAAAAACUGCGUAGGAGAUUUUAAUACAAUAGUACUACCAAGCCUGAUGUUGGCCGCUAUUUCAAUGAAUGCAGCAGUGUGACAGCUAGCAAUCAAAAGUAACAAGAUAUCGAGGAAAUGCAGAUGGCAAUAAACUGUGUAGAAGUUCAUGAUUGCAAUAGAAUAAAAUCGACCAAGCCUGAAGUCAGCAGCCCCUUCAAUGAAUGCAGCAGUGUGACAGCCAGCAAUCAAAAGUUACAAGAUAUCGAGGAAAUGCAGAAGGCAAAAAACUGCGUAGGAGAUCAUUAAUACAAAAGUAUUAUAUAAACCAAGCCUGAUGUUGGCCGCUCAUUCAAAGAAUGCAGCAGUGUGACAGCCAGCAAUCAAAAGUAACAAGAUAUCGAGGAAAUGCAGAAGGCAAAAAACUGCGUAGGAGAUCAUUAAUACAAUAGUAUUAUAUAAACCAAGCCUGAUGUUGGCCGCUCAUUCAAAGAAUGCAGCAGUGUGACAGCCAGCAAUCAAAAGUAACAAGAUGUCGAGGAAAUGCAGAGUGCAAUAAACUGUGUAGGAGAUUAUGAUUGUAAUAGAAUAAAAUCGACCAAGCCUGAAGUCCUUCAAUGCACGCAGCAGUGUGACAGCCAGCAAUCAAAAGUUACAAGAUAUCGAGGAAAUGCAGAAGGCAAAAAACUGCGUAGGAGAUUAUUAAUACAAUAGUAUUAUAUCAACCAAGCCUGAUGUCGGUAGCUUCUUCAAUGAAUGCAGCAGUGUGACAGCCAGCAAUCAAUAGUGACAAGAAUCUAGGAAAUACAGAAGGCAAAGAAGCAGAUGUCAUCAAAAAAGAUCUUUGUUCCUGCAAUGUUUCCGCAGACGAUACAGAUCCAACAGAGCGAAGUGGAAGGAAAAGACUCGGAAAAAAGACCCCACCACCAUAUGGGAACAAUGCAAGGGAGAGAGAGAGAAUAUAAUGUUAUAUUUUUAUUUUUUGAUAACAUAAAAUAAACCAACAAUAUCCUACAUAUUUUUUUUUAUUUCUUUUUGUGUCUGUCUUAAUAGUUAUUACAAAUCUGUGAUGCGAAACAAACUAUACGAAAACGUCAAUCCACAUACAACGCCCGCGAAGCUGCUUUAGCAGCGAGCGCACUUAGCACCAUCUAGUUAAAUCAUUAAAUAGAUAAAAACCUGUGUAUAUUUUUAUGUUAUUGUUAAGUUUAUUCUCUACCUACUUACUUACUAAUAUGUUACCAUAUUAAGUCUGUUCAAAAAUCAUAAAUAGGUACUUGUUCUUCAUCUAUCAUGUAGGUUGUGAAGUGGAUGACCAACCUCAUCAACCAGAGUUAUUGCUGAGCCGCCAAUGUCGUUGGAUCAGCCAGCCAUGUCCUAACUGAACCAAGGAUCACAAAGAAAUUUUUGUGUUUUGUCUCCACCGGGACUUGAACCUGGGACCUCCGGAAUGUCAGCCACUGGACCACAUAGGCCGAGAGUAUAUGGUUAAGUUGCUGUAUUAUUUCAACUAUUUAAUUAAAUGUAGGAAUA
rnacentral:lncRNA from 1 species